AUGUACAUACAUACAACGUUAAUGCAUCGAAUCCCAUCAAAACUCCGCAGUUAGGCAUGCUUGGGAUAGAGUAGUAUUGGGAUAGGUGACCUCCUAGAAAGUCCUAGUGUUUUACAUG
rnacentral:rRNA from 1 species